GGGGAAUGGAGUUAGCAGAGUUAUCUCACAGUGUUCUUAGAUAAAGGAACCUUUGCUUCUCAGGCCCUGGGGAAAAGCACAGAGGACACUGUAAAUAGCUGCAUGGGACUGGAAAGGUAUUGGUUCUCUGAAGUUGCAAGUCACCAUCUGGGUUCUAAACCAAAAAUCCCCUUUGGAAAACCAUGACCUAUGCUGAAGAAAUGUGACUUCCCCUGACCCAUGUGAGAAAGCUAUAACAAAUAACACCACUAUUCAUGGAAAGUGAAUUCGACUAGUGCAGCAGCAGCUGAUAGCAGACACCUUGUUAGAUUAUGGUCUCUUAACAAUCAUUCUCUUGUCUGGUGCUGUGGAACUUCUUUGUACUCUUUUAUAUAGUGUAGGUAUAACUCUUCUUUUGUUUUUCUUAAUGCUGUGUGUUAGAAUGAAAUGUUUCUAAAAGCCUUUUAGAGUUAUUGAUUGGGAUAGACUCCCAGAGCUGGCUUUCAGGAUUCACAAAAGCCACUCACUGAAGGGAGCAGGGGGAAAUCCAGUUUGCGGCAGCCUCCUAUUUGCAGUUUGUUUCAACAUUUAAUUGGUGACCGUGGGGCUUGCCCCAUGUGGGCACCUUGAGGAACAGCACAAGGAUGUUCUAGAGGCUUAGGCACUGGACUGAGACUGGGAAGAUCUGGCUCUGACACAAACUUUCUGUGUGACCAUGAGCAAGUCACCUAAUCUUUCUCUGCCUCAGCUUCCCAUGUGCAGACACAAGGGAAUGGAUGCCAACAUGAGGCACUGAUCCUGCAAACAUUUAUAAACACAUGCAUAGGUAGGCAUGUGCCUAGGUGUUUGUAGAAUUGGGGCCUUAUGUGCCUAGGUGAAUAGGCUGAUCAUGACUCCAUUAUCUGUACUAUAAUUGGUCUUACAUAAAAAUGGGGAGAGGGUGAAAUGAAAGUGUGUGUGGGAAGAGAAAUUGAAGAGAUUUAGUGGACCCCUAAACCCAUCCCUAUAGACUUCAGCAGAUUACUAAAUGUAAAUAUCUAUGUUAAUGCAACAUUAAAGUUGAAUUUUUAAACCUGUUAGCUAACUUGUGAAUUUCAAUAUAUAAACUUCAGCCCUUUUUGAGUUGUAUGCAAGAAAGUGUCUAAAAAUUGCUUAAAGUGUGUGUGUGUGUGUGUGUGGGGAGUAUUUCUUUUCCUUUCCAUAACUCAAAAAUAACCGAAUAAAUUUUAUUAAAAUUCUUAAAUGACUUCUGGUCAGAGGUUAAUUUUAUUUAAGCAUGGAAAAUUUUAGUUUAAAGUGAGUUUUUUAGGAAGCUGCUAUAGAUGUUAUUCUGUACACUUUAAAUGGUUAUUUUUUCCUUUCCAGGACAGAGAAAUCCAGGAGCCAUAUUUGACGAUGUGUAGUAAUAUUUCACAAGCUAUCUAAUAUAAUACAAUGCUCUUUAUUUCUCUCUCUGUAGACCAUAAUCCAUUUGAGGUAGGAAUUUUCUUCUCGAUUCAUAGAGCUCUCAGCAAAAUGGGGCUCUUUGAGUGCCACGAUAAUAUAAAUAUUUACUACUACUACUGCAGU